rnacentral:rRNA from 1 species
ACCCUUAGAUGUCCUGGGCUGCACGCGCGCUACACUGGAAGUUACGGAUUGAGAUACUACCUUGUCCGAAAUGGUCCGGGUAAUCACCUAAAAGCUUGUCAUAAUUGGAAUGGAUUAUUGUAACUAGUAAUCCUGAACGAGGAAUUCCUAGUAAGUCCCAGUCAACAGCUGGUACUGAUUACGUCCCUGCCCUUUGUACACACCGCCCGUCGCUACUACUGAUUGGACGUUUAAGCAAGAUUUUUAAGCACUGACAGUGUGUAGUUCACGCUAUACUACAGUGAGAAGAAGAAGAUCGAGCUUACUUGUCUAGAGGAAGUAAAAGUCGUAACA